rnacentral:rRNA from 1 species
CGCUGGCGGCGCGUCUUAAGCAUGCAAGUCGAGCGGUAAGAUAUAGCUUGCUAUAUCCUAGAGCGGCGGACUGGUGAGUAACACGUGGGUGACAUACCCCUCAGACCGGGAUAGCUCCUAGAAAUAGGAGAUAAUACCAGAUACGACCCAUGUUGUCAGAGGACAUAGAGGAAAGAUGCUACGGCAUCGCUGAAGGAGUGGCCCGCGGCCCAUUAGCUAGUUGGUAGGGUAACGGCUUACCAAGGCGACGAUGGGUAUCCGGCCUAAGAGGGUGGACGGACACAUUGGGACUGAGAUACGGCCCAGACUCCUACGGGAGGCAGCAGCUAAGAAUAUUCCGCAAUGGACGAAAGUCUGACGGAGCGACGCCGCGUGGACGAUGAAAGGCCGAAAGGUUGUAAAGUCCUUUUGAAUCUGACGAAUAAGCAGUGCAGGGAAUGGCAUUGUGGUGACGGUAGGAUUUGAAUAAGCAACGGCUAGUUACGUGCCAGCAGCGGC